CAGGAAGUGCUAGACUGUCUGAAUCCAAUGUGUCGCGAGAGGGCCAAGACACUGACGGUUUUCUUUCCAACGAGUUUCUCCAGCAGGUGGUUUUAAUUGAUGAGCUCCUUCCCGCAAACUGAAGGAGGUGUUGAUUAUUAAAAGUCACCUGCUUUAGUGACAGACCGGAAAGAGAACCUGCAAUGAGUUUUGACACCCCUGGUCUGGAUUCCCAAAGCUGGUUCGCGGCUGAAGGAGGAGCCUCCGAACGUCUGGCCUCCGUAGACCCGGACAUUUCUGCUGCUGCUGAAAUACGUCUGCGGGAUGACUUGGAGCUCUUUGAGAAUCGAACCCACGACUGAAAUAAGCAAAAACAUCCAAGGGAAUUUCUGUCGGACGGCUGGUAUCCUCCAAAGAGUCACCAAGUUGCCCACAACGACGUCCACCGCCGCCAUGUUGACACCUUUCUCAAGUCUGGACUCCACUUCUUCUGCGUUGAGGUUGACUGGUUUUGUUAACAAUGCGAUUUACCGCCCCCGUCUGGUAAGGAAUGUAUUGCAUCCACAAACAUAGAGACGAGCAUGACUCUAUUACUGUUGUCAGUGUCGUGUGAGAAAAUUGCUGGGCGGGACAGUGGAAUAGUGGUUAGCACAUCUCAUUCAUAGUCAGGUGUUCCAGGUUCAAAUCUUGAUCCUAGAUGUAUUUCAGUGUAUAGUUUAUAGUAGUUUUUUUAAUAAUUCAUAAUUGUGUAUUCAUCUUUAGUAAACCACAUUAAACAAUACUUCCCAUUGUA